rnacentral:rRNA from 1 species
AGUGAACGCUGGCGGUAGGCCUAACACAUGCAAGUCGAACGGCAGCACAGUAAGAGCUUGCUCUUACGGGUGGCGAGUGGCGGGCGGGUGAGGAAUACAUCGGAAUCUACUUUUUCGUGGGGGAUAACGUAGGGAAACUUACGCUAAUACCGCAUACGACCUACGGGUGAAAGCAGGGGAUCUUCGGAUCUUGCUCGAUUGAAUGACCCGAUGUCGGAUUAGCUAGUUGGCGGGGUAAAGGCCCACCAAGGCGACGAUCCGUAGCUGGUCUGAGAGGAUGAUCAGGCACACUGGAACUGAGACACGGUCCAGACUCCUACGGGAGGCAGCAGUGGGGAAUAUUGGACAAUGGGCGAAAGCCUGAUCCAGCCAUGCCGCGUGGGUGAAGAAGGUCUUCGGAUUGUAAAGCCCUUUUGUUGGGGAAGAAAAGCAGUAGGUUAAUACCUCGCUGUUCUGACGGUACCCAAAGAAUAAGCACCGGCUAACUUCGUG